AACUCGGUCCUGUUUCCUCCCAAGCCUACUGAGAGGAGUCCUUGGCCCCUCCGACAGCUUGCUCCAAGGGGCAGAGCGGGGCAGGGAGCAUGACCUUGCCUGGAGGUGGACCUGUGUUGUCCUGGCUAGGACCCUCCAGAGAGCUGAGUCUACUGUCUGCUUCUGUCUCAAGACUCGGUCAUUGGAGAGUCUUAGGGAUAUGGAACUUGCCUUGCUGACCCUUCCUGGGGCCAUAGCUACUGGACACCCGGGCUUGCUUAGCCAAAGUCUUGUCCCAGAACUGGCACGGGGCUGCCACAAGGACGG
rnacentral:lncRNA from 1 species